ACGUACCGCCCAAAUUUAACUUUAAUCUCUCUUUCUCAAACCCUAGCAAUCAGAUCCAAAUUCCAAAAAAAAAAAAAACAAAAAAAGAGAAAAUUUUCAUUUUCGUAUUGAUUUUUUUAUGUUUGAUGUUUGAUUCUAAAAUUUUAAUGUGAAGGUUUAAUUGAGUUAGCUCGUAGGGGAUAAUCAGCGACUGAGUCAAAUAGGCCAUGGCAGGAAAGAGUGACUCAGCGUCGAUCAGGGUUCCAUACAGGAACUUAAAGAAGGAAUUGGAGGUUGAAAUGAUCGACGAGCCUCAUCAUCGGAUCGGUCUAAAUUCGUCUCCUAACUCUCCUUCAACCUCUUCCUCGUCUCCUUUGGCGAGGGUUCCCAACGGAAACUCUAACUUAUCGUCGCCGAUCCUAGCCAGAUCUAAUGAUUGUAGCUUAAUGACUUUGGUUCUUAGUUGCACGGUCGCCGCCGGGGUUCAAUUUGGUUGGGCUUUGCAACUUUCGCUCUUGACUCCGUACAUUCAGACACUUGGAAUAGAGCAUGCUUUUUCUUCAUUUAUUUGGCUCUGCGGUCCAAUAACUGGUCUUGUGGUUCAACCUUGUGUUGGUAUUUGGAGUGAUAAAUGCACUUCAAAAUAUGGAAGGAGAAGGCCUUUUAUCCUUGCUGGAUCGCUCAUGAUCUCUGCUGCUGUGGUAAUAAUCGGGUUUUCUGCAGACGUUGGAUACAUAUUAGGCGAUACAAAGGAACAUUGCAGUACAUUUAAAGGUACACGAACAAGGGCAGCUUUUGUCUUUGUUAUUGGGUUCUGGAUGUUGGAUCUAGCUAACAAUACGGUGCAGGGACCAGCUCGUGCCCUUUUGGCUGAUCUAUCAGGUCCUGAUCAACACAAUUCUGCAAAUGCUAUAUUUUGCUUAUGGAUGGCUGUGGGAAGCAUCUUGGGAUUUUCAGCUGGUUCUAGUGGGGGUUGGCACAGAUGGUUUCCUUUCUUGAAAAGUAGAGCUUGCUGUGAGGCCUGUGCCAAUCUUAAAGCAGCAUUUCUUGUUGCUGUGGUCUUUCUCUUAUUUUGUACUGUUGUGACUAUAUGUUUUGCUAAGGAGGUUCCACUUCCACCACCAGAAAAUCAGCAAACUCGUUUAUCAGAUUCUGCUUCUUUGUUGGAUGAUUCCACACAAAAUGGCUUUCAACACUCAAAAUCAAAAGCUGUUGCUUCCAUUGUUGCCAAUGCUAAUAGGAACAAUGCUGAAAAUGGAUAUGAACGAGUGUCAAACUCAAAGCAUGCUAACUCAAAAGAUACAAACGUUCAGAACGAAGUUUUCAGUGAUGGGCCUGGAGCCGUACUGGUCAACUUAUUGACCAGUCUAAGGCAUUUACCACCUGCAAUGCACUCAGUGCUUAUUGUUAUGGCUCUCAGUUGGCUUUCCUGGUUCCCUUUCUUUCUAUUUGAUACGGAUUGGAUGGGAAGAGAAGUAUAUCAUGGAGAUCCAAAAGGGAAUGGUUCUGAAAUAAAAUUGUAUGAUCAAGGUGUCAGAGAAGGUGCAUUUGGUUUGCUAUUAAAUUCUGUUGUUCUGGGCAUUAGUUCUUUCCUUAUUGAACCAAUGUGUCAACGGAUGGGGUCAAGACUUGUUUGGGCAAUGAGCAACUAUACUGUGUUUGCUUGUAUGGCUGUCACAGCUAUCAUUAGUUUGGUAUCUGUUAGAGAAUAUUCUCAAGGGAUCGAGCAUGUACUUGGAGGGAGUGCAGCAAUCAGGAUUGCUUCCUUGGUUGUAUUCGCUCUUCUUGGCUUCCCUCUAGCUAUUACCUAUAGCGUUCCAUUUUCUGUUACAGCAGAGUUGACUGCCGAUUCUGGUGGUGGCCAAGGAUUGGCGAUUGGAGUUUUGAACCUUGCAAUUGUUAUUCCACAGAUGAUUAUAUCUCUUGGUGCGGGUCCAUGGGAUGCUCUAUUUGGUGGAGGAAAUAUACCUGCCUUUAUUUUGGCUUCGUUCUGUGCUCUUGCUGCGGGGAUUAUUGCAACUCUCAGGCUGCCUGAUCUGUCAAGUUCAUUCAAGUCAUCUGGUUUUCAUUUUGGCUAAGGAACAAAAUGACCUUAAUAAGGUGACAACCACUCUGUUUAUGAUGCACGGCAACGAUGGAAAUGCUGUCAUUUGCUUUCAGAGGAUGGCUCUACCAUCAUUCAUGUAGCUCUUCUCUGUCUAAGUGGGCAGCAUACAGCAGCUAUCUUGGGCUUGGCAUUUCUGGAUGGCAUGUGAUGAUUUGCAGACUGAAAUUACUACCUAACAGAAACUCUGACUUGAUUCUGUUAAGGUGGAAUGUCUUCUUCCUGCCUGCCACUUAACUCUGACUAGACACGUCCUUAGACAUUGUUUGGUUUACUUCUCAACUGAUUCCUUGUAAUUACUUUUCUUUAUUGUGGUUUAGAUAUCUCAGUGGCAUUCACAUAUAAAAUUU